rnacentral:rRNA from 1 species
GGUGAAGCCAGCUUGCUGGGUGGAUCAGUUGGCGAACGGGUGAGUAACACGUGAGCAACCUGCCCCUGACUCUGGGAUAAGCGCUGGAAACGGCGUCUAAUACUGGAUACGAGUAGCGACCGCAUGGUCAGUUACUGGAAAGAUUUAUUGGUUGGGGAUGGGCUCGCGGCCUAUCAGCUUGUUGGUGAGGUAAUGGCUCACCAAGGCGUCAACGGGUAGCCGGCCUGAGAGGGUGACCGGCCACACUGGGACUGAGACACGGCCCAGACUCCUACGGGAGGCAGCAGUGGGGAAUAUUGCACAAUGGGCGCAAGCCUGAUGCAGCAACGCCGCGUGAGGGAUGACGGCCUUCGGGUUGUAAACCUCUUUUAGCAGGGAAGAAGCGAAAGUGACGGUACCUGCAGAAAAAGCGCCGGCUAACUACGUGCCAGCAGCCGCGGUAAUACGUAGGGCGCAAGCGUUAUCCGGAAUUAUUGGGCGUAAAGAGCUCGUAGGGCGGUUUGUCGCGUCUGCUGUGAAAUCCGGAGGCUCAACCUCCGGCCUGCAGUGAGGUACGGGCAGACUAGAGUGCGGUAGGGGAGAUUGGAAUUCCUUGGUGUACGCGG